CAACCCUCAAGCUCUGCUUGGUAUUGGGCUUCGUCGGUCCCCGGCGUGCCUCAAAGCUAUCGGCGGUGGUGCCUUUCUCUAAGCGUGGUAAAUUUUAUUCGCUUGUGAGUCGGGCUUCGCCUGCCGGAUAAAUCGGGCUCCGGCCCAUCUUCUUA
rnacentral:misc_RNA from 1 species